rnacentral:rRNA from 1 species
AUUGAACGCUGGCGGCAGGCCUAACACAUGCAAGUCGAACGAGUGGCGGACGGGUGAGUAAUGUCUGGGAAACUGCCUGAUGGAGGGGGAUAACUACUGGAAACGGUAGCUAAUACCGCAUUCAAUGGGAUGUGUCCAGCUGGGAUUAGCUAGUAGGUGGGGUAAUGGCUCACCUAGGCGACGAUCCCUUGCUGGUCUGAGAGGAUGACCAGCCAAACGGGAACUGAGACACGGUCCAGACUCCUACGGGAGGCAGCAGUGGGGAAUAUUGCACAAUGGGCGCAAGCCUGAUGCAGCCAUGCCGCGUGUAUGAAGAAGGCCUUCGGGUUGUAAAGUACUUUCAGCGAGGAGUCGUUACUCGCAGAAGAAGCACCGGCUAACUCCGUGCCAGCAGCCGCGGUAAUUC